GGGUGACAGGGAGACAGGUGGUGCAUGGUUGUCGUCAGCUCGUGUCGUGAGAUGUUGGGUUAAGUCCCGCAACGAGCGCAACCCCUACGUUUAGUUGCUAACGCGUGAAGGCGAGCACUCUAGACGAACUGCCGUUGACAAAACGGAGGAAGGUGGGAUGACGUCAAAUCAUCAUGCCCCUUAUGUUCUGGGCUACACACGUGCUACAAUGGCCGGUACAGACGGACGCAAAGCCGCGAGGUGGAGCAAAUCCUAAAAAGCCGGUCUCAGUUCGGAUUGCAGGCUGCAAUUCGCCUGCAUGAAGUCGGAAUCGCUAGUAAUCGCAGGUCAGCAUACUGCGGUGAAUACGUUCCCGGGCCUU
rnacentral:rRNA from 1 species